rnacentral:rRNA from 1 species
AGGGUACCACCAGGAGUGGAGCCUGCGGCUUAAUUUGACUCAACACGGGGAAACUCACCCGGCCCGGACACCGGAAGGAUUGACAGAUUGAUAGCUCUUUCUUGAUUCGGUGGAUGGUGGUGCAUGGCCGUUCUUAGUUGGUGGAGCGAUCUGUCUGGUUAAUUCCGAUAACGAACGAGACUCUAGCCUAUUAAAUAGACGUCGGGUUCUCUGCACUCGACGGUCUUCUUAGAGGGACAAGGUGCUUUUAGCACCGCGAAACAGAGCAAUAACAGGUCUGUGAUGCCCUUAGAUGUCCGGGGCCGCACGCGCGCUACACUGAAGGAAGCAGCGUGUAACAACCUUGUUCUAACGAACUGGGUAACCCGUGGAACUUCCUUCAUGAUUGGGAUAGGGGUUUGCAAUUGUGCCCCUUGAACGAGGAAUUCCCAGUAAACACUAGUCAUCAGCUAGUGCUGAUUACGUCCCUGCCCUUUGUACACACCGCCCGUCGCUACUACCGAUUGAAUGGUUUAGUGA